GUUUGACCUCGGAUCAGGUAGGGUUACCCGCUGAACUUAAGCAUAUCAAUAAGCGGAGGAAAAGAAACCAACAGGGAUUGCCCCAGUAACGGCGAGUGAAGCGGCAACAGCUCAAAUUU
rnacentral:rRNA from 1 species